rnacentral:rRNA from 1 species
UACGUAGGGGGGCUAGCGUUGUCCGGAAUCAUUGGGCGUAAAGCGCGUGUAGGCGGUUUGGUAAGUCUGCUGUGAAAGUCCAGGGCUCAACCCUGGAAUGCCGGUGGAUACUGUCAGACUAGAGUGCGGAAGAGGCGAGUGGAAUUCCCGGUGUAGCGGUGAAAUGCGCAGAUAUCGGGAGGAACACCAAUUGCGGAGGCAGCUCGCUGGGACGUUACUGACGCUGAGACGCGAAAGCGUGGGGAGCGAACAGG